UAAGAGGGAGUGUGACUCGGCAAUUACAGCGCGGGCAGGAUACGGACGUACCUUGUGGACAGCACGCAAGCAGUCCAGGAUGUUCAGAUUGUACAUGCAGGUUCCAAACGAGGCAUCUCUAAGAAACACAAUUCAAAACAUUAGGAACACCUGAACUCACACAGUGAUGGACAAACUUUCGAUACUCAAGAGCGACGUUUGAUUUGUAAACCCAACAGUCGGCCCAGGUCAUUUGCAGUGAGGAUGGAUUCUGGAUUACAACGAUCGUUCCGUACGUGGGCACCCCUACAACAACAACAACAAAAAAAACAAUUUACUCCACCACUCGUACCUGAAUGGAAUGUAUGUGUUGUUCCUUGACACCAACAGAC